UACGUAGGGUGCGAGCGUUGUCCGGAAUUACUGGGCGUAAAGGGCGCGUAGGCGGCUCGCUAAGUCGGGUGUGAAAACUCUGGGCUCAACCCAGAGCCUGCAUUCGAAACUGACGAGCUAGAGUUCUGGAGGGGAAAGCGGAAUUCCUGGUGUAGCGGUGAAAUGCGUAGAUAUCAGGAGGAACACCGGUGGCGAAGGCGGCUUUCUGGACAGAAACUGACGCUGAGGCGCGAAAGCUAGGGGAGCAAACAGG
rnacentral:rRNA from 1 species